rnacentral:lncRNA from 1 species
GUGAAAGAGACGGAUAUGUGUUCUUUUGUCAAAGAUGAAUCUGUGAAUAAUGCUAAAGAUGAGAUACCCGGUCUGGGUAUUGUGAAAGAGGAGAAACGUGUUGUGAAAGAGGAGAAACCUGAUGUCGGUGUUGUGAAAGAGGAGAAACCUGAUAUCGGUGUCGUGAAGGAGGAGAAACCUGAUAUCGGUGUCGUGAAGGAGGAGAAACCUUAUCUGGCUGCUGUGAAGAAGGAAAUUGUGAAUAUCGAUGAUGAUUUUCCAGACGAUCUUACACAGAUCCAUUACAGCCCCUAUCUCAACCCUCGUCCCAUCACUUGUAU